GCAAGCGUUAUCCGGAAUUAUUGGGCGUAAAGCGCGCGUAGGCGGUUUUUAAGUCUGAUGUGAAAGCCCACGGCUCAACCGUGGAGGGUCAUUGGAAACUGGAGAACUUGAGUGCAGAAGAGGAAAGUGGAAUUCCAUGUGUAGCGGUGAAAUGCGCAGAGAUAUGGAGGAACACCAGUGGCGAAGGCGACUUUCUGGUCUGUAACUGACGCUGAUGUGCGAAAGCGUGGGGAUCAAACAGGAUUAGAUACCCUGGUAGUCAAGGGCG
rnacentral:rRNA from 1 species